UACGAAGGGGGCUAGCGUUGUUCGGAAUUACUGGGCGUAAAGCGCACGUAGGCGGACAUUUAAGUCAGGGGUGAAAUCCCAGAGCUCAACUCUGGAACUGCCUUUGAUACUGGGUGUCUUGAGUAUGGAAGAGGUGAGUGGAAUUCCCGGUGUAGUGGUGAAAUGCGUAGAUAUCGGGAGGAACACCAGUGGCGAAGGCGACUUUCUGGCCUGUUCUUGACGCUGAGGCGCGAAAGCUAGGGGAGCAAACGGG
rnacentral:rRNA from 1 species